UGUGCUUAGGUUAGGUUAGUUUUUCCCAUGGAAUUAUCGGAAGAAGUUACGAAUAUUUUGCACAAAAACACGAUUCAAUACUUGCACGACUUGGCAGACAAGGUCCCCGAUAGUCUAAAUGUGUUAAAAUCAUACUACGCGUCAAAGUUUCGAAUUUCGGAACUCCAGACAAAGAUUUGUUUGAAGAAGAGUAAAAAUAAGUUGGACGCAAGGUGCCCGAAAUGUUGUCUCAAAUUACGUGAGACUGGGGCCACCUGUUACGUUAAACCUGAGACUCACAAAUCAAAAUUCGCAAAAAAAUUACUUAAGAAGGUCCAAGCUCAAAAAAGACUGACACAUUUCCAGAUCAAAUAUUUAAAAAAUAAUAACAUUAACGCCGAGAAUACACUCGUAAUUACUUGCAAUUUUUGUAAAAAAGAAAUUAGUCACAGAUGUAACAAGCCAGUCAAGAGACGAAAAUACCAGAAAGCCAAGAAUCAGAAUAAGAAAAAUGCUAAGAAGAAAGAUAAAUUUUGUGGUCUUAAGGAAGAAGCGGUGAUAUCUGUACAGAACGAAACACAUAAAAUUUUAAAUAAUGAAUUUACUAAAAGGAAGGAAAUUUUGCAAGAAAAGAGGAAGUUAAGUAAGUUGACGAAAAUGCUCAAACAAAAAUCGAACAACAAAAGUGGGUCUGCACUGACGCAGUUUUUACAAUCGUUAAAUAAAUAGCAAAAAUUCAUAGAAA